AGAAGGCUUCCAUCUAUUUUCAGCAGGUGUUGGAAAACCAACAUAUAUUGAUAGCCACCGGCUCAAGGCAAUUUAGUAAAGUCCGACCUUGCACUUUUGAGGCAGGCAGCAGAACCACUGAGCUAAAUCCCCGGUCCAGUAAUCCUGUGUUGAUGAAGAUCUUCUGUUGAUGAGAACCAGGAUGUCUUCAGCUGAUGUAAUCUUUCCCUUGAACUUCACAGUAUCACAGGACCAUUGAGGCCUCUACUUGUGACUGGAGACAAACGGAGUUAUGUUUUCACAUGCCAUAGCUGGCUCACAGGC